rnacentral:rRNA from 1 species
GACGAACGCUGGCGGCGUGCUUAGCACAUGCAAGUCGAACAGAAAGGCCCUGCUUUUGUGGGGUGCUCGAGUGGCGAACGGGUGAGUAACACGUGAGUAACCUGCCCUUGACUUUGGGAUAACUUCAGGAAACUGGGGCUAAUACCGGAUAGGAGCUCCUGCUGCAUGGUGGGGGUUGGAAAGUUUCGGCGGUUGGGGAUGGACUCGCGGCUUAUCAGCUUGUUGGUGGGGUAGUGGCUUACCAAGGCUUUGACGGGUAGCCGGCCUGAGAGGGUGACCGGCCACAUUGGGACUGAGAUACGGCCCAGACUCCUACGGGAGGCAGCAGUGGGGAAUAUUGCACAAUGGGCGGAAGCCUGAUGCAGCAACGCCGCGUGCGGGAUGACGGCCUUCGGGUUGUAAACCGCUUUCGCCUGUGACGAAGCGUGAGUGACGGUAAUGGGUAAAGAAGCACCGGCUAACUACGUG